GGAGAGGUGGCCGAGCGGUUUAAGGCAGCAGUCUUGAAAACUGCCGUAGUGGUAACACUACCGUGGGUUCGAAUCCCACCCUCUCCGCCA
rnacentral:tRNA from 2 species